GAUGAACGCUGGCGGCGUGCCUAAUACAUGCAAGUCGAGCGAACAGACGAGGAGCUUGCUCCUCUGACGUUAGCGGCGGACGGGUGAGUAACACGUGGAUAACCUACCUAUAAGACUGGGAUAACUUCGGGAAACCGGAGCUAAUACCGGAUAAUAUAUUGAACCGCAUGGUUCAAUAGUGAAAGACGGUUUUGCUGUCACUUAUAGAUGGAUCCGCGCCGCAUUGGCUAGUUGGUAGGGUAACGGGUUACCAAGGCAACCAUGCGUAGACGACCUGAGAGAGGGAUAGGCCACACUGGAGCUGGAACGCGGACAAGGGUCCUGCGAGAGGCACCAGAAGGGAACGUGCGGCAGUAGGGGGAAACCUGACGGAACGACGCGACGCGAGUUGUAGAGAUGUUGGGAGCGGAAAAAUCUGUUAUGAGGUAAAAACAAAUGUGUAAGUAAAUGUGCACGGCUUGACGGUACCUGGUCAGGAAGCCACGGCUAACUACGUG
rnacentral:rRNA from 1 species